GUAUCCUAGAAAGUAGUUCUUUGAAAUUUUGAAGUUCCCAAUUUAACGCUAUCCCUACUUUGACAUGUUAUAUUCCAAAUGUAUUUAUUGAUACUGUGUACAUUUUUUGUCAUUUCUGAUGUCUUUAACAGUUGUUUUAUGUGUGUUUUUCAGGAUUACAUUUCUGUGCGGAAGGAUUAAAAAACUACACCAGACUGGUGGCCAUGACAGAUGUCAGUGGGAAAUUUAAACAUGGACUAGAUACUUUGAUGUGUAGCAAAAAAGUUCAUCGUUGAUGGUGGUGUUUUUCCGUGAUAUAUUGACUGGGAUAGUAUUACUCUUCAGAAAUACAGAGCUGUCAAUGCUGCAAUUUUGUUGUGAAAUUCACAAUCCAUGUCCAAAAGUGCUUGUUUUACUAUACAGCAAAGAAGGAGAAAUUGUACCGGGCCGACACCUAUAUGGCAAAUUCAGAAAGUGGAAUAUCUCAGCAACCAUAGGGUUUACAAUCAUGAAACUUCACACACUAGUAGCUGAUAACAAUACAAAUCAGUGGCUAAAAGGAUAUUUCCAAGGCGAUGAAUUCCAUAUGUCAGAAGGAAAUUUAGAAUCGUACAACCAGUCAGCAGCUACCCAUAAACCAGACCAACCUAUUAAGUCGAGCGGGCAGAAGCUGUGAUUCCCAGUGUAACACCGCAGAAUGACGGCUAGUUUUCGGAUUACAUUUCUGUGCGGAAGGAUUAAAAACUACACCAGACUGGUGGCCAUGACAGAUGUCAGUGGGAAAUUUAAACAUGGAUUAGAUACUUUGAUGUGUAGCAAAAAAGUUCAUCGUUGAUGGUGGUGUUUUUCUGUGAUAUAUUGACUGGGAUAGUAUUACUCUUCAGAAAUACAGAGCUGUCAAUGCUGCAAUUUUGUUGUGAAAUUCACAAUCCAUGUCCAAAAGUGCUUGUUUUACUAUACAGCAAAGAAGGAGAAAUUGUACCGGGCCGACA